UGGGGAAUAUUGCGCAAUGGGCGAAAGCCUGACGCAGCGACGCCGCGUGGAGGAUGAAGGUCUUAGGAUUGUAAACUUCUGUUAAGUGGGAAGAAAUGUUCAUCUCUAAUACAGAUGAAAGAUGACGGUACCAUUAAAGAAAGCACCGGCUAAACUCGUGCCAGCAGCCGCGGUAAUACGAGUGGUGCAAGCGUUAUUCGGAAUCAUUGGGCGUAAAGGGUGUGUAGACGGUAUGCUAAGUCAGUUGUUUAAUUCUCCGGCCUAACCGGAGGCCAGCAGCAGAAACUGGUAUACUAGAGGGUGGAAGAGAGGAGUGGAAUUCUCGGAGUAGCGGUAAAAUGCGUAGAUCUCGAGAGGAACACCAAUGGCGAAGGCAGCUUCUUGGUCCAUACCUGACGUUGAGACACGAAAGCGUGGGGAGCAAACAGG
rnacentral:rRNA from 1 species